rnacentral:lncRNA from 1 species
AUAAAAAAAGCAUUCUUUAUGUAAUUUCCUGGUUCAGAAACUAUUUUUAAGGAUUUUAAUAAUAAUAAAUCUUAAACAUACAUUCAAGUAGAGAAAAUAGUUUAACCCGCAUACCACCAUCACCCAGAGCCCCAAAUUUUCAAGUUUAACCCCUCCUGUUUCUUCAUUCCCCCUUGUACCAAGAGUAAUUUAAAAAUUUUUUUGAGUAAUUUAAAAAUUUUGAUCACAAAUCCCAGAUAUGUUACUUUUGGUAUGUAUUUCAGUAUGCAUCUCUAAAACAUAUGAAUGUUUUCUUUCUUAACCACAAUGCUUUCAUCAGCUCAAUUAGCAUCAACUUAAAAUUAACAAUUCCUGGAUAUCAUCUCAACUUCCCUGAUAGUUUCCAAAGAGUAAGAACAUCAUUUAAAAGAAGGCCUGUUUUUCAGCCUGUGCAGAAAGCCGUGCUGGGAACUGACAAGAGAAGGCAGCAAUUAAAUUCAAGAAGCAGAUAGUGCUGAAGGCCUGCCAGCCACACCAAAGAGCUUCUCACAAGAAGGCAUGAGCCAGGUUGAGGCAGCUUCACAAGGGGAAGAAUGGCCUGUUUGGGACCAGAAGCCAUGACUCGAAUGAGGCUAACAAUACACAAAGCACAGGCACCAUAUAGAAGAGUCAUUUUCCUCCUCUCAGGCUUCAUCAUAGUAACUGUCAUUACAAGGCAGACAGAGAUCCAUUGGAUGGAGGUGUACCUGGAUUUCCAGUCCUGGCUCUGCUAUGUAGGGUCUUGGAUGACCUAUGACAGGUUGGAUUUGGUCACAAAUCCAGAAACGACUUCAUGUCACUGAGGUAUUACUCUGCUGCUAUCUAUGUCCAAGCCCAUUUUUAUAUAGUUUUAUAGUCUUGUCUCUCAUACUACGCACCUACCAGCCAGACACACCUGGGCAGGCAAGGAGAGCGGGAGUACUGGUGUUUGCUGCAUAUCUACUAUGUGCUGAGCACGGACACUUUAAGGUCAAAAGAGGACUCUUCAUACAAGAUGGCUGAAAUUGAGCAAACACACAAUCCCAGAUGGUUUCAGACAGCAGGAUAAAAAUGAGUAAACCAAUAUGGGUUCAUUGAAGAUAACGAAUGUACCACUCUGUGUUGAGUGUGUGUAUAUGGGGGGGUGGGGGGCGGAGGGUACAUAGGAACUUUGUAUUUUCUCUUCAGUUUUGCAUGGACCUGAAACUCUUCUAAAAUAAAAUCUACUUUAAAAAAAUGAAAUGAAACA